rnacentral:rRNA from 1 species
GAUGAACGCUGGCGGCGUGCCUAAUACAUGCAAGUCGAGCGAACAGACGAGGAGCUUGCUCCUCUGACGUUAGCGGCGGACGGGUGAGUAACACGUGGAUAACCUACCUAUAAGACUGGGAUAACUUCGGGAAACCGGAGCUAAUACCGGAUAAUAUAUUGAACCGCAUGGUUCAAUAGUGAAAGACGGUUUUGCUGUCACUUAUAGAUGGAUCCGCGCCGCAUUAGCUAGUUGGUAAGGUAACGGCUUACCAAGGCGACGAUGCGUAGACGACCUGAGAGGGUGAUCGGCCACACUGGAACUGGGACACGGUCCAGACUCCUACGGGAGGCAGCAGUAGGGAAUCUUCCGCAAUGGGCGAAAGCCUGACGGAGCAACGCCGCGUGAGUGAUGAAGGUCUUCGGAUCGUAAAACUCUGUUAUUAGGGAAGAACAAAUGUGUAAGUAACUAUGCACGUCUUGACGGUACCUAAUCAGAAAGCCACGGCUAACUACGUG